rnacentral:rRNA from 1 species
AUACGGAGGGGGCAAGCGUUGUUCGGAAUUACUGGGCGUAAAGGGCGCGUAGGCGGAUUAUCAAGUCAGAGGUGAAAGCCCUGGGCUCAACCUGGGAACUGCCUUUGAAACUGAUAGUCUUGAGGCCGGAAGAGGAUGGCGGAAUUCCCAGUGUAGAGGUGAAAUUCGUAGAUAUUGGGAAGAACACCAGUGGCGAAGGCGGCCAUCUGGUCCGGUUCUGACGCUGAGGCGCGAAAGCGUGGGGAGCAAACAGGAUUAGAAACCCCAGUAGUCC